rnacentral:rRNA from 1 species
CCUACGGGCGGCAGCAGUGAGGAAUAUUGGUCAAUGGGCGCGAGCCUGAACCAGCCAAGCAGCGUGAAGGAUGACUGCCCUACGGGUUGUAAACUUCUUUUAUAAAGGAAUAAAGUGAGGCACGUGUACCUUUUUGUAUGGACUUUAUGAAUAAGGAUCGGCCAACCCCGUGCCAGCAGCCGCGGCAAUACGGAGGAUCCGAGCGUUAUCCGGAUUUAUUGGGUUUAAAGGGAGCGUAGGGGGGUUGUGAAGGCAGUGGUGAAAGUAUGGGGCUCAACCGUAAAAUUGCAAUUGAUACUGGCAGCCUUGAGUACAGUUGAGGUAGGCGGAAUUCGUGGUGUAGCGGUGAAAUGCUUAGAUAUCACGAAGAACUCCGAUUGCGAAGGCAGCCUACUAGACUGCCACUGACGUUGAUGCUCGAAAGUGUGGGUAUCAAACAGGAUUAGAUACCCCUGUAGUC